rnacentral:rRNA from 1 species
UAUGGUAAUUGUGUCAGCCGCGGUAAUACGGAAGGUCCAGGCGUUAUCCGGAUUUAUUGGGUUUAAAGGGAGCGUAGGCCGUUUGGUAAGCGUGUUGUGAAAUGUCGGGGCUCAACCUGGGCAUUGCAGCGCGAACUGCCAGACUUGAGUGCGCAGGAAGUAGGCGGAAUUCGUCGUGUAGCGGUGAAAUGCUUAGAUAUGACGAAGAACUCCGAUUGCGAAGGCAGCCUGCUGUAGCGCAACUGACGCUGAAGCUCGAAAGCGUGGGUAUCGAACAGG